AGGGCGUAUGGGGAAUGCCUAGGCACACUCCGGCGAAGAAGGACGCAGCAAACAGCGAAAUGCGACGGUGAGCGGUAAGCACGUGAAGAGCCGUCGAUAUCCGAAUGGGGGAACCCACACGGAGUCAUAUCCGUGUAUCACAUGUCGAAUACAUAGACAUGAUGAGGCGAGACGCAGGGAACUGAAACAUCUAAGUACCUGCAGGAAGAGAAAAUAAGAAUGAUUUUCUGAGUAGCGGCGAGCGAAAGGGAAAGAGCCCAAACCGAUCUUAGGAUCGGGGUAGUAGGAUCAUCGAGAAAUCUGACAGAGGAUCAUAGAGGAAUCACAUGGGAAGGUGAGCGAGAGAGGGUGAGAGCCCCGUACUCGAAAUGAGAGACUGGAGAGAGAUGACACCUGAGUAGGGCGGGACACGAGAAAUCCUGUCUGAAUCAGCCGGGACCAUCCGGCAAGGCUAAAUACGAGAGAGUGACCGAUAGUGAACCAGUACCGUGAGGGAAAGGUGAAAAGAACCCCGGGAGGGGAGUGAAAGAGAACCUGAAACCAUAUGCUUACAAGAAGUCAGAGCCCGUUAAAGGGUGAUGGCGUGCCUUUUGUAGAAUGAACCGGCGAGUUACUGUAUGGAGCGAGGUUAAGCAGGAUAUGCGGAGCCGAAGCGAAAGCGAGUCUUAAGAGGGCGAGAGUUGCAUGCAGUAGACCCGAAACCGGGUGAUCUAGCCAUGACCAGGUUGAAGUUGGGGUAAAACCCGAUGGAGGACCGAACCGACCCCCGUUGAAACGUUGGCGGAUGAGUUGUGGCUAGGGGUGAAAUUCCAAUCGAACCCGGAGAUAGCUGGUUCUCCCCGAAAUAGCUUUAGGGCUAGCGUCGAGGUAAGUUGCGUGAAGGUAGAGCACUGAAUAUGUGAUGGCCCCAUCUCGGGGUACUGAGCAUAAUCAAACUGCGAAUGUCACGCCAACAUGCUCGGCAGUCAGACAGCGGGUGAUAAGGUCCGUUGUCAAGAGGGAAACAGCCCAGACCAUCAGCUAAGGUCCCAAAAUGUAUGCUAAGUGGAAAAGGAUGUGGAGAUGUACAGACAACUAGGAGGUUGGCUCAGAAGCAGCCAUCCUUUAAAGAGUGCGUAACAGCUCACUAGUCGAAUGACUCUGCGCCGAUAAUUUACCGGGGCUAAGCAUACUACCGAAGCUAUGGAUCCCAAGGGAUGGUAGGGGAGCGUUCCAUGAACGGAGAAGUACGACCGAAAGGACGUGUGGAGAUCAUGGAAGAGAGAAUGCCGGUGUGAGUAGCGGAACGUGGGUGAGAAUCCCACGCACCGAAAACCCAAGGUUUCCAGAGGAAGGUUCGUCCGCUCUGGGUAAGUCGGGACCUAAGGCGAGGCCGAAAGGCGUAGUCGAUGGACAACAGGUAGAGAUUCCUGUACCCGUAUAUAUGUGAAGGAAUGACGGAGAGAGGAAGCUGCAGCCAGCGGCUGGAAGAGCUGGUGCAAGCGAGAUAUCGGGAUGGCAGGCAAAUCCACCAUCCGAAACGAGAAGGCGUGAAGCGUACGGAAAGCUACGGCGAGUACGGAAGGCAGUGGAGGAACUUCCAAGAAAAGUUUCUAACGUUAAGUAUAUAUGGCCCGUACCGAAAAUGGACACACAUGGGUGAGGAGAGAAUCCUAAGGUGAGCGAGAGAACUAUAGCUAAGGAACUCUGCAAAAUGACUCCGUAACUUAGGGAGAAGGAGUGCUCAUAGAGAUAUGAGCCGCAGUGAAACGGCCCAAGCGACUGUUUACCAAAAACACAGCUCUCUGCUAAGCCGCAAGGCGAAGUAUAGGGGGUGACGCCUGCCCGGUGCUGGAAGGUUAAGGGGAGGGGUUAACGCAAGUGAAGCCCUGAACUGAAGCCCCAGUAAACGGCGGCCGUAACUAUAACGGUCCUAAGGUAGCGAAAUUCCUUGUCGGGUAAGUUCUGACCCGCACGAAAGGCGUAACGAUUUGGGCGCUGUCUCAGCUGUAGACUCGGUGAAGUCUUAGUACCUGUGAAGAUGCAGGUUACCCGCGACUAGACGGAAAGACCCCAUGGAGCUUCACUGCAGGUUGAUAUUGGGAUUUGAUGCAGCAUGUACAGGAUAGGUAGGAGGCAAAGAGAUGGAUACGCCAGUAUUCAAGGAGCCGCUGUUGGGAUACUACCCCUGUUGUAUUGGAUUUCUAACCGGACGACGUAGAGCCGUUGACGGGACAGUGUCAGU
rnacentral:rRNA from 1 species